GUGAAAUAGAACCUGAAACCGCAUGCUUACAAAAAGUCGGAGCCUCUUUAAGGGGUGACGGCGUACCUUUUGUAUAAUGGGUCAGCGACUUACAUUCAGUGGCAAGCUUAACCGAGUAGGGAAGGCGCAGGGAAACCGAGUCCGAACAGGGCGAUUUCAGUCGCUGGGUGUAGACCCGAAACCAGGUGAUCUACCCAUGUCCAGGGUGAAGGUAGGGUAAUACCUACUGGAGGCCCGAACCCACGCACGUUGAAAAGUGCGGGGAUGAGGUGUGGGUAGGGGUGAAAUGCCAAUCGAACUUGGAGAUAGCUGGUUCUCCCCGAAAUAGCUUUAGGGCUAGCCUCGAGUUGAGAGUCUUGGAGGUAGA
rnacentral:rRNA from 1 species